CUGAAACAUACCUGAAAAAUAGCUUCUGUCGAUAACAACUUAUUUUCACUUUUAAGAAUGGCUUUUGGGGAUGGAAAACAAUUUUUAUUGGCUAUAGGCUUCUGCCAAACAGGUAGAAAUGGAAAUUGAUGUCAUUUGCCCUGUUAAAGACCAUUGAACUGUUUUAGAUUAUCAAUCAAAGCCACAAGACUAGGUCCAAAAUUCUCCUUCCUGAAAUUUUUCACUAACCUCUAGAAUUGCUUCUUGUACUCAAAUUUACUGUUGUAUAUGUUUAAUUUUCUCUUAACUUGCUAGUGGUUCGUGAUGUUUUUCCUAUUUGAUGCACAAGAGUUGGAUUUCUGCUACGGGUUACCUGAUGCAUCGGAUAUGGAGAUAUACUGCUCAUAUGGUGUUGGAGUUCCUACUGAAAGAUCAUAUGUGUUGAAGGUAUCCCCAAGUGAUAGGUGCAAGAGCAUUCCAUUCCGUAUUGACACCUCAGUUGAUGGAGAA
rnacentral:misc_RNA from 1 species